UAGUAACGGCGAGUGAAGAGGGAAGAGCCCAAGAUUGAAAGCUGGCGUCUUCGGCGUCCGCUUUGUAAUCUCAAGAAGCGUUUUCCGCUUCGACCAUGCCUAAGUCCCUUGGAAAAGGGCAUCAUAGAGGGUGAUAAUCCCGUACAUGGCAUGGAGCGCCCGAAGCUUUGUGAUACGCUUUCUAAGAGUCGGGAAGUUUGGGAAUGCAGCUCAAAAUGGGUGGUAAAUGCCAUCUAAGGCUAAAUAUUGGGGAGAGACCGAUAGCGAACAAGUACAGUGAUGGAAAGAUGAAAAGAACUUUGAAAAGAGAGUUAAACAGUACGUGAAAUUGCCAAAAGGGAAGGGUAGGAGGUCAGAGAUGCGGCCUGGGAUUCAGCCUUGCUUUUGCUUGGUGUUUUUCCCAGGUUGCAGGCCAACGUCGGUUUUGGGCACUGGAGAAGGGUAGGAGGAAUGUGGCACCUCUUGGGGUGUGUUAUAGCCUCCUACUGGAUACAGCGACCGAGACCGAGGACAGCAGCGUACUCGCAAGAGCGGGCCUUCGGGCACCUUUACGCUUAGGGCGUUGGCAUAAUGGCCCUCUACCACCCGUCUUGAAACACGGACCAAGGAGUCUAACAUGUAUGCGAGUCUUUGGGUGGCAAACCCAUCGGCGCAAUGAAAGUGAAUUCAGGUGGGAUCCGCAAG
rnacentral:rRNA from 1 species